CUAAGAAUAUCCCGCAAUGGACGAAAGUCUGACGGAGCGACGCCGCGUGGAUGAAGAAGGCCGAAAGGUUGUAAAGUUCUUUUGCUAGGGGAGAAUAAGUGAGGGAGGGAAUGCCCUCAUGAUGACAAGGACUAGCGAAUAAGCCCCGGCCAACUACGUGCCAGCAGCCGCGGUAACACGUAGGGGGCGAGCGUUGUUCGGAAUUACUGGGCGUAAAGGGCAUGUAGGCGGCUUGGUAAGCCUGGCGUGAAAGACUGCAGCUUAACUGUAGGGAUGCGUUGGGAACUGCUUAGCUUGAGUUACGGAGAGGGAGCUAGAAUUCCUGGUGUAGGGGUGGAAUCUGUAGAGAUCAGGAAGAAUACCGAUGGCGAAGGCAAGCUUCUGGCCGAUAACUGACGCUGAGGUGCGAAAGUGUGGGGAUCAAACA
rnacentral:rRNA from 1 species